GGGCUUCGAAAAUCAGCCUUAGGGGCGGAUUUGAGGGAAGUUACGGAGCGGUUGAGGCCUGAAAAUGCAUGAAAACUGCCCCUUAUUACUUGUAAUAGUUAGCCAAGUGUCAUGUUUGUAUGCUGCCAUGUGUCCUUAGGUAGUUUUGUGUGAAAACUACCUUUUCCUUGUAUUUAUUGGGCUAUGAGUGCACAAAUCCGAGGCAUCUAGUAUCAUCUAGCAUAUGAGAGUUCAGAUUGCAAUUGUUGGGCAAUUCUGAGUGAGGAUUUUGUGUGUGCACCUUAGUCUCCUUUGUAUUCAUUGUGGGAAUUAAUAU
rnacentral:lncRNA from 1 species